AGGAACAGUGUUUUUUUAUUUGUGUUUGUGGAUUUGUUUUGGUAUUAUACCUAAAGACCUUAAAAUGUCUCGACCCUGGAAAAAUAGGCAGGAAAAUUUGGCAAAUGAAGAGGAAAGUGUUUGUGCGGGCUUAUGGAGACCGUGGGUGUACAAGAAAGACAAUAACAUUUGUGAUAAAAACAAUAAGAGUGAUCUGGGCAGUGAUUUAGACUUACAUAGUUCUGAUAGUUCAUUUUCUAGUAUUGAGGAAGCAAAAAGAAGCAAGAGAAGUAGAACAAUCUAAGGAAUGAUACUCAGUUCACAAAUGAUUGUAGUGCUUUGCAAAAAAUAGCGUUUUUAACAGGGGUUCCCUAUAGUACAAUAUGCCUGUAAAAAAAGGAUUAAAGACAGAAUAAAAAGGAAAGAUGCAGGACAAUCAAAGGGACUUGACAUGGAUAUUGCCAAAUUGCUAAGGAAAGGUGUGUAUCCUAAAUACAAAAACAAUGAGGUUCUGACCAUAUAGACACCUUAUCGGCAAGGGACAAACAUUUCUCAGUCUCAACCUUGCGGAGAUACCUGAUAAAACUUGGAUUUAAGCUUAAGAUGGUUAACAAAAGAGCUGCUGUAAUGGAAUUGUCAGGUGGUGUAUAGAAUAUUUGAGGAAAAUUAAAAAAAUUUGGGAGGAAGAAAGAUCCAUAUAUUAUUUAGCCGAAACAUGAUAUGAUACAUUUAUGAUUGAUGUAUGAUUUCCAUUCUCUGGGAAAAAAGUCCCUUUUUUGCCAUACUUACUGCCCCUGUUGUCCUUCAGUGAUACAAUAAAGACUGCUUCUUCCACCAUUCUCUGGGAAAAACCCUGUUUUGCUAUGCUUACUACCCCUGUUGUCCUUCAGCAACACAAUGAAGACUGCUUCUUCCUCCAUUCUCUGGAAAAAAGUCCCUUUUUUGCCAUAGUAAGAAAAUCCUAUUUUUAUUAAUUAAACAAGUUUAAAGUUUUGUUUUUUUCA